rnacentral:rRNA from 1 species
AAUGUACUUGAUGUUGAUUAUCCAACGUGGAUAACUGUGGCAAUUCUAGAGCUAAUACAUGCACCAAAGCUCUGACUUUUUGGACGAGCGCAUCUAUUAGAUUAAAACCAAUCGGGCAAAUUAUUAGCCCGUUAAUUGGUGACUCUGAAUAGCUAUGGCUGAUCGCAUGGUCUUGUACCGGCGACGUAUCUAUCAAGUGUCUGCCUUAUCAACUUUCGAUGGUAGUUUAUGUGCCUACCAUGGUUGUAACGGGUAACGGAGAAUAAGGGUUCGACUCCGGAGAGGGAGCCUGAGAAACGGCUACCACAUCCAAGGAAGGCAGCAGGCGCGCAAAUUACCCACUCUCAGAAUGAGGAGGUAGUGACGAAAAAUAACGAGACCGUUCUCUUUGAGGCCGGUUAUCGGAAUGGGUACAAUUUAAACCCGUUAACGAGGAUCUAUGAGAGGGCAAGUCUGGUGCCAGCAGCCGCGGUAAUUCCAGCUCUCAAAGUGUAUAUCGUCAUUGCUGCGGUUAAAAAGCUCGUAGUUGGAUCUGCGUCUCAGGACCUGGUCCAUCCAUUGGAUGAGAACUGGGCUCCUAGGCUAAUAUUGCCAGUUUUCCUUACGUUACCUUAAUUGGUUGCGUAUGGUGGCUAGCAAGUUUACCUUGAAAAAAUUAGAGUGCUCAAUGCGGGCUAAUGCCUGAAUACUCGUGCAUGGAAUAAUGAAAUAGGAUCUCGGUUCUAUUUUGUUGGUUUUCUGAUCUGAGAUAAUGGUUAAGAGGGACGGACGGGGGCAUUCGUAUCGCUGCGUGAGAGGUGAAAUUCUUGGACCGUAGCGAGACGUACGACUGCGAAAGCAUUUGCCAAGAAUGUCUUCAUUAAUCAAGAACGAAAGUCAGAGGUUCGAAGGCG